rnacentral:rRNA from 1 species
GUGAGGAAUUUUCCGCAAUGGGCGAAAGCCUGACGGAGCAAUGCCGCGUGAAGGAUGAAGGCCUAUGGGUUGUAAACUUCUUUUCUUAGAGAAGAAUAUUGACGGUAUCUGAGGAAUAAGCAUCGGCUAACUCUGUGCCAGCAGCCGCGGUAAGACAGAGGAUGCAAGCGUUAUCCGGAAUGAUUGGGCGUAAAGCGUCUGUAGGUGGCUUCAAAAGUCUCCUGUCAAAGAUCAGGGCUUAACCCUGGGCCGGCAGGAGAGACUCUGAGGCUAGAGUUUGGUAGGGGCAGAGGGAGUUCCCGGUGGAGCGGUGAAAUGCGUAGAGAUCGGGAGGAACACCGAAGGCGAAAGCACUCUGCUGGGCCACAACUGACACUGAGAGACGAAAGCGAGGGGAGCAAAAGGGAUUAGAUACCCGAGUAGUCC